rnacentral:rRNA from 1 species
CACUGGAUUCUGCUAGUAAUUAAAGUUGACACCUCAGAAUGUCUCGUCCACGACUCUCUGAAUAAGGAUCCAAAGCUUUGGGUCGACAUGAGAAGAAUGCUGCAGAAGUAAUUAUUUUCAUUCAUUUGCGCUCUAUAUCGAUCGGCCUAUUUCGUUCAUUUCCUAAUAUCAAGUAACUAAUAACUCUCUUGUUCAUUUAAUUUUCUUUUCCUCGUAGGGUUUGGAGACGGUUCGUAGAUACAAAGGUCGGUGAAUUCAAAAAAGAGCUAGAAUUCAAAAGGGCAAAGGCUAAGAAUGGUGAGGAUAUUCAGCCAGCGGGGACCAAUCUAUGUGCAUACUAUGUCUGUGAGAUGAUCCGGAGAUACACCUCUGAGCGGGUUCCGAGUGAUACCAAUGCUCAGAGGAAUAACCUCCAGAUGAUGCUUAGUCCAGAAGCUCGCUUCCGACCACUUCAAGAGGAAUUAGCUGGAUGGUUCAGGAGGUAAGUCCUCCAUCCUAAAGGAGAACACCAUUACGAGGACGUAGAACUUUAUAUGCAUUAAAUUAUGUAUGGAAACUUGUUCAAAAUUGUAUAUG